GAUGAACGCUGGCGGCGUGCCUAAUACAUGCAAGUCGAGCGAACGGACGAGAAGCUUGCUUCUCUGAUGUUAUCGGCGGACGGGUGAGUAACACGUGGAUAACCUACCUAUAAGACUGGGAUAACUUCGGGAAACCGGAUCUACUACCGGAUAAUAUUUUGAACCGCAUUGUUCAAACGUUAAAUACGGUCUUGCUGUCACUUAUAGCUGGAUCCGCGCUGCGUUAGCUAGUUGGUAAGGUAACGGCUUACCAAGGCAACGAUGCAUAGCCGACCUGAGAGGGUGAUCGGCCACACUGGAACUGAGAAACGGUACAGACUCCUACAGGAGGCAGCAGUAGGGAAUCUUCCGCAAUGGGCGAAAGCCUGACGGAGCAACGCCGCGUGAGUGAUGAAGGUCUUAGGAUCGUAAAACUCUGUUAUUAGGGAAGAACAUAUGUGUAAGUACCUGUGCACAUCUUGACGGUACCGAAUCAGAAAGCCACGGCUAACUACGUG
rnacentral:rRNA from 1 species